UUAGACUGGCCCCGCUUCGGUUCCCCCCUCCAGGGGAUGAAAAGGGAAUCCGGUGCGAGACAGGGCGGCGACGCCCCGACUCCAGUCCGGAACUGCCCCCGCAACUGUAGGCGGCGAGCGUUGCGCUCCACUCUUUGCCACUGGCGAUACUGCCGGGAAGGCUGGCGCAACGUGACGACCCGCAAGUCAGGAGACCUGCCGCGGCAUUACUUCAUAU
rnacentral:ncRNA from 2 species